UACGGAGGGUGCAAGCGUUAAUCGGAAUUACUGGGCGUAAAGGGUGCGUAGGUGGUUAAAUAAGUUAUCUGUGAAAUCCCUGGGCUUAACCUGGGCAGGUCAGAUAAUACUGUAUAACUCGAGUAUGGGAGAGGGUAGUGGAAUUUCCGGUGUAGCGGUGAAAUGCGUAGAGAUCGGAAGGAACACCAACGGCGAAAGCACUCUGCUGGGCCGACACUGACACUGAGAGACGAAAGCUAGGGGAGCGAAUGGG
rnacentral:rRNA from 1 species